AAUAACAGUUGUGCGACAUUAUUGUCCAACAACAGUCGCGUGAUUGUGUUGUGCGAUCAUAGUGAUUGUGUGUUGGAACAAAAAAUAUUUACUAAUGGAGCUCAU
rnacentral:pre_miRNA from 1 species